rnacentral:rRNA from 1 species
UUCCGGUUGAUCCUGCCGGAGGUCACUGCUAUUGGGAUUCGGCUAAGCCAUGCAAGCGGAGGGCGCGGUCGAAAGAUCGUGGCCCCGCACACUGCUCAGUAACACGUAGUCAACCUACCCUUGGGACGGGGACAACCUCGGGAAACUGAGGCUAAUACCCGAUAGGUGAGGGACGCUGGGAUGCCUCCUCGCCCAAAGCUCCGGCGCCCAAGGAUGGGACUGCGGUCUAUCAGGCUGUUGGUGGUGUAACGGACCACCAAACCUACGACGGGUACGGGCGAUGGGAGUCGGAGCCCGGAGAUGGGGACUGAGACAAGGCCCCAGGCCCUACGGGGCGCAGCAGGCGCGAAAACUCCGCAAUGCGCGCAAGCGUGACGGGGGGAUCCCAAGUGCCGUUGGUCUUUCGAUCGACGGUUUUUAGGAAGUCUAAGAAGCUUCCAGAAUAAGGGCUGGGCAAGACUGGUGCCAGCCGCCGCGGUAACACCAGCAGCCCAAGUGGUGGCCACGAUUAUUGGGCCUAAAGCGCUCGUAGCCGGAUCAGCAAGUCCCUUGUGAAAUCGGGCCGCCUAACGGUUCGGCGUGCAAGGGAUACUGUUGGUCUUGAGGCCGGGAGAGGUCGGAGGUACUCCUGGGGUAGCGGUGAAAUGCUCUAAUCCUAGGGGGACCACCAGUGGCGAAGGCGUCCGACCAGAACGGACCUGACGGUGAGGGGCGAAGGCUAGGGGAGCGAACGGGAUUAGAUACCCCGGUAGUCCUAGCUGUAAAGCAUGCGGGCCAGGUGUCUAGUGCUCCUUGAGGGCACUAGGUGCCGGGAGGGAAGCCGUUAAGCCCGCCGCCUGGGAAGUACGGCGCAAGGCUGAACUUAAAGAAAUGGCGGGGAGCACCACAGAGUGGGACCUGCGGUUCAUGAUCACGCG